AUAAGCUCGCCCACGUUGUAUUCUCGGGAAAUACUCGUCUCGGCUAGACUGCAGAAAUAUCUGAUCACGAUAUGUGGAGAAAGAGACUUCGGCUUGUUGGAGUGUGACAACGGAGGGCUUGAAGUUACGAAGUGCAGGCGUUUUGCUUGGAUAUGAGGACUACUGCUUCCAUUUGAGGGCCGAUGUGAAUGGACGCGAGGUAAAGCAGCAACUUCCGCAAUGUGGCUACUUGCAGUUUUGCUGGGGAUCACUUUACCGGUGCAUAGCGAUGAGCAAUGCUCCUGGGGAAUAUAUGGCGAGAACUGCGACAGGACCUGCCCCUCCAACUGUUACCCUGACCCACGGAGAAACCUCAGACACUGUCAGAAGUACACAGGGAA